rnacentral:rRNA from 1 species
GUGGGGAAUAUUGGACAAUGGGGGAAACCCUGAUCCAGCGACGCCGCGUGUGUGAAGAAGGCCUGCGGGUUGUAAAGCACUUUUAGUGGGGACAAAAAGCCAAAGGCUAAUACCUUUUGGUCUUGAUUUAACUCACAGAAAAAGCACCGGCUAACUCUGUGCCAGCAGCCGCGGUAAUACAGAGGGUGCGAGCGUUAAUCGGAAUUACUGGGCGUAAAGCGCGCGUAGACGGUUUUGUAAGUCAGAUGUGAAAUCCCCGGGCUCAACCUGGGAACUGCAUUUGAUACUGCAUGGCUAGAGUACGGUAGAGGGAAGCGGAAUUUCCGGUGUAGCGGUGAAAUGCGUAGAUAUCGGAAGGAACACCAGUGGCGAAAGCGGCUUCCUGGACCAGUACUGACGUUCAUGUGCGAAAGCGUGGGGAGCAAACAGGAUUAGAUACCCGUGUAGUCC